GGGUGCGAUCAUACCAUCGUUAAUGCAUCAGAUCCCAUUAGAACUCUGAAGCUAAGAGUGCUUGGGCUAGAGUAGUACUGGGAUGGGUGACCUCUCGGGAAGUCUCAGUGUUGCACCCU
rfam:Picea glauca, whole genome shotgun sequence.